rnacentral:rRNA from 1 species
UACGUAGGGUGCGAGCGUUGUCCGGAAUUACUGGGCGUAAAGCGCACGUAGGCGGCUUUCUAAGUCGGGGGUGAAAUCCUGGAGCUCAACUCCAGAACUGCCUUCGAUACUGGAGAGCUCGAGUCCGGGAGAGGUGAGUGGAACUGCGAGUGUAGAAGUGAAAUUCGUAGAUAUUCGCAAGAACACCAGUGGCGAAGGCGGCUCACUGGCCCGGUACUGACGCUGAGGUGCGAAAGCGUGGGGAGCAAACAGG